rnacentral:misc_RNA from 1 species
AACUUCCACCUGGCUUACCUCCNUCAUUUAUGCGUCAUGACUUGUAUCGUCUUGAGCGUAUUGUGGGUUUCCUGUGUUGCAUACCUUUCUAAUGGUAUCGUGUUGAUUGAUCGAAGUCCCUUUUCAUCUUGUGUUGCUUUUUGCGACGCAUGAUGAACCUCGAGGCGGUCUCUAUGUUCCACCACGUUGAUGCUACUGUUUCGAUGUUGUGGCCCAUUGAGCGUUGCUUGGUUUUGUGGAUACAGAACAUGAUUUGGGCAUAGGGUUACUUGUGACUCUUGUUCUGCCCUUUAUCAGUGUUCUUUAUAACGACGGUUCAUGCGCGCCUAGGCUCGUACCUGCGCGAUGUUCUUUGUCGAAGAGGAAUGCUACCUGGUUGAUCCUGCCAGUAGUCAUAUGCUUGUCUCAAAGAUUAAGCCAUGCAUGUGUAAGU